rnacentral:lncRNA from 1 species
AGUGUCUUCUUCACAAAGGCGUCUAUAAUUGGCAUUCAUAAUCACAAAAGUCCAGGACUUGCGUUAAUUCUCGUGACCACACCCCAGCUUUCCCGACAGCUGGGUGUCUAUUUUCUCUUUGAUGACUUUUAGAGAAGCGGGUUCUCCAGGAUCCACCUCCCUCCUUCCGCAGCGUGGACCACGCUGACUUGAUGUCAGUAGGAAACUAGUGUCUGAUGGAAUGGGAGUGUGAGAGAGAAUGGUGUGUCAAGGACGACUCCAAGGUUUUUGACUGAGCAAACUGGGAGAGUGGCGUUGGGGAAGACCAGGGCUCAGCACCAGACAGUGAGUUUGAGAUGUCCGCGACAUAGCCACGUCGAGACGUUUCAUGAGAGUUGCAGAGAUGCUUCACCGUGUCAUGAAGUGGAUGAAAUGAGAUGUGUUUGGCAAUAAGCUUGGAGUUUUUGUCACCGUUGUCAGCACCACCUCGUAAUCAACACUGCUACCACUAAUUAUUCAAUCCUUCCUAUGUGCCAGAUAUGUUAUCUUAUGUAAUUCUCAAAAUAGUCUUAAUGACACAGCUGUCACUUCUAUUUUGUAAAUGAGAAAACAGGCCUCUAGAGAUCUCACUAAUGUUACUUAUUAUAAUUAAUUCAUCAAAUAUUAAUAGAGCACUUAUUAUGUGUCAAAGGGUAUUCUGAGGUUCUACAAAUAUUAUCACAUGUAAUUCUCAAGACAAUCUUAAUAAAGUAAGGUAUCAUUGUCCUUAUUUCACAGAUGAGAAAAAUGAGAAUCUCAGAGAGUUUAGUAACAAUUAAUUAGUCGAGUAAUUAGCUCAAAAUUUGUGCCCAUUGUCUGUGCAAGAUGCUGGGGAUACAGUGGUGGGAAAGUCAGACCAUGCCAUUGGCUAUCUGGAAUUCAGAGUCUAGUAGAGGAACCUGCAGUCUGGUGGUGUGUACAAGCAGCCUGUUGCAUCCAGCGUACACAGUAAAAAAUGGCGGAGUUGCGUGAAUGAACUCAGAUCCAGGGUGAUUCACUGUGUCCUGUUGCCUC